rnacentral:rRNA from 1 species
AACGCUAGCUACAGGCUUAACACAUGCAAGUCGCGGGGCAGCAUGAAUUUAGCUUGCUAAAUUUGAUGGCGACCGGCGCACGGGUGAGUAACGCGUAUCCAACCUUCCCUUAUCCACGGGAUAGCCCGUCGAAAGGCGGAUUAAUACCGUAUGAGGUCAUUUGAUGGCAUCUGAUUAUGACGAAAGGUUUGGCGGAUAAGGAUGGGGAUGCGUCCGAUUAGCUUGUUGGCGGGGUAACGGCCCACCAAGGCGACGAUCGGUAGGGGUUCUGAGAGGAAGGUCCCCCACAUUGGAACUGAGACACGGUCCAAACUCCUACGGGAGGCAGCAGUGAGGAAUAUUGGUCAAUGGGCGAAGGCCUGAACCAGCCAAGUAGCGUGAAGGAUGACAGCCCUAUGGGUUGUAAACUGCUUUUAUGCGGGGAUAAAGUGUACCAUGUAUGGUGUUUUGCAGGUACCGCAUGAAUAAGGACCGGCUAAUUCCGUGCCAGCAGCCGCGGUAAUACGGAAGGUCCGGGCGUUAUCCGGAUUUAUUGGGUUUAAAGGGAGCGUAGGCCGUUUUUUAAGCGUGUUGUGAAAUGCCGCGGCUCAACCGUGGCACUGCAGCGCGAACUGGAUGACUUGAGUGCGCGGGAGGUAGGCGGAAUUCGUGGUGUAGCGGUGAAAUGCUUAGAUAUCACGAAGAACUCCGAUUG